rnacentral:rRNA from 1 species
ACGCGAUGAGAUGAGCCGAUGCCGGAUUAGCUAGUUGGCGGGGUAAAGGCCCACCAAGGCGACGAUCCGUAGCUGGUCUGAGAGGAUGAUCAGCCACACUGGAACUGAGACACGGUCCAG